rnacentral:rRNA from 1 species
UGGGGAAUAUUGGACAAUGGGCGAAAGCCUGAUCCAGCCAUGCCGCGUGUGUGAAGAAGGUCUUCGGAUUGUAAAGCACUUUAAGUUGGGAGGAAGGGCAGUAAGUUAAUACCUUGCUGUUUUGACGUUACCGACAGAAUAAGCACCGGCUAACUCUGUGCCAGCAGCCGCGGUAAUACAGAGGGUACAAGCGUUAAUCGGAAUUACUGGGCGUAAAGCGCGCGUAGGUGGUUUGUUAAGUUGGAUGUGAAAGCCCCGGGCUCAACCUGGGAACUGCAUCCAAAACUGGCAAGCUAGAGUACGGUAGAGGGUGGUGGAAUUUCCUGUGUAGCGGUGAAAUGCGUAGAUAUAGGAAGGAACACCAGUGGCGAAGGCGACCACCUGGACUGAUACUGACACUGAGGUGCGAAAGCGUGGGGAGCAAACA